CAGCCGCCGCGGUAAUACAGAGGGUGCGAGCGUUAAUCGGAUUUACUGGGCGUAAAGCGUGCGUAGGCAGCUUCUUAAGUCGGAUGUGAAAUCCCUGAGCUUAACUUAGGAAUUGCAUUCGAUACUGGGAAGCUAGAGUAUGGGAGAGGAUGGUAGAAUUCCAGGUGUAGCGGUGAAAUGCGUAGAGAUCUGGAGGAAUACCGAUGGCGAAGGCAGCCAUCUGGCCUAAUACUGACGCUGAGGUACGAAAGCAUGGGGAGCAAACAGGAUUAGAUACCCCUGUAGUCCCUGUCUCUUAUAA
rnacentral:rRNA from 1 species